GACGGAGGAUGCAAGUGUUAUCCGGAAUCACUGGGCGUAAAGCGUCUGUAGGUGGUUCAAUAAGUCAACUGUUAAAUCUUGAGGCUCAACUUCAAAAUCGCAGUCGAAACUAUUGGACUCGAGUAUAGUAGGGGUAAAGGGAAUUUCCAGUGGAGCGGUGAAAUGCGUAGAUAUCGUCAGGAACGCCGGUGGUGAAGACGGGUGACUGGGCUGGUCUGACACUGAGGCACGAAAGCGUGGGGAGCGAACGGG
rnacentral:rRNA from 1 species